AGACACCACCACAGCCCUCUCCAAGAGAAAAGAAAGUAGAAGAGAAAAGGAGAAAAUUCUGCAGUGAGACUUCCUAUACCCUUUUUUUCGAAAACGAGAAGAGGAUUUCCAGUCUGCUACAUCUGAUUAACAACGACUGUUUCACUCCUACCAAAAAGCUUUCAUUUGUUUUUUUUACCCUGAACUGCCUUAGCUCAUAAGCUUUGUUAGCCUGGACACUGUAUGAGAACAUAACUGCAUGAACAGCAUGCUUGUGAUAAAAGUGCAACGACUGAAACAGAGUCUCAAAACCUUCUAGUACUUUGAGAACAGCUACGACUGCACCCUGCAGCUUUCUGAAGCGAGAGAUGCCAUUUGUGCUGGGAUUAGUGCAACAGAUGUACACUCUAGAGAUACCUUUUCCUUGAUGGCAAUGGAUUUUGCUUCAGAAUGCUAAAAAUGAGAGGAAAAAGUAUAAACCUGACUGUUCUGCAGCACCUGAGCAUCUGCGUGCAUCUGUGCACAAACGGGAUUCUGUGAACAAAUCCUCUCAGCUGUUUCAGGGAUAGCACUUGUGAAGUUGGCAGUGGUAGGGUUUUUUAAAUGAAUUUGUAAAAAGUAACUGCGAUUGUAUUUAUCCAUACGUACUCUUACUUAUGGCUUAAGUGUUCCUAUAACCUAAACCAUACUCCUAACAAGGGCUGUAACAACUGUGCUUGUUCCCUUGCUCUCUUUAUAUCCUGUAAAUAUAAUGAACAAAGAGGAA